rnacentral:lncRNA from 1 species
CCCCUUUAGUUUUGUUUAUACAAGUCUGGAGAAUGAGUAACAAUGAGAGAUAUAAUGUAUUCUGGGGAGGUAAUAACCAACAGAAUAUUAAAAAGUGUCAUAGUUAAUUCAUGGGAAUUGCAUUUCCAUCGAAGUAUUCCCACAAUCAGGUUGGAAAGAAUUUUGGUUGACAUUUGUAACAGAGUUUGAUCUAGUAACACAGGGACAAAGUUGGUUUGGUCAACUUUGACGCAUGCAAAACUAAACUCGCCUGUCAUCUAAACUGGCCCUAUGUGGGGCUAGCUUCUACUAUUAAGUGCAGUCUUUGGGGAUAGAUGGAUAUCCUCAUUUUGUUCAAAGCUACAUAUAAUGCUUUUGCAAAAAGCGUUUUAAAAUACAUGUUUAUAGUUGUGUUUGUCUUGCGUGUUAAAUUACUUGUUUUAGUUUGGAAAAUAGUGAUAAAAUGCUGGGGCCUUGUAAGAUUGGAGUAUUUUGGUUGAGGUUGGGGGUUAGCACUGGUCCUUGUUUUCCUAAAUUUAUUGAUGGUUUGGUCUUAUUUA